UACGGAGGGUGCUAGCGUUAUCCGGAAUUAUUGGGCGUAAAGAGCUCGUAGGCGGUUUGUCGCGUCUGCCGUGAAAGUCCGGGGCUUAACCCCGGAUCUGCGGUGGGUACGGGCAGACUUGAGUGAUGUAGGGGAGACUGGAAUUCCUGGUGUAGCGGUGAAAUGCGCAGAUAUCAGGAGGAACACCGAUGGCGAAGGCAGGUCUCUGGGCAUUAACUGACGCUGAGGAGCGAAAGCAUGGGGAGCGAACAGG
rnacentral:rRNA from 1 species